AAGCCCAAAUGGCGUAAUUAUAGCUGUUUUAUAGAUGGAGUCUUCACUCACGGGUUGGCCCCAAAAUCCCUUAAAUUUGGAAGAGGAUAUCGAUCUAGAUCCAUCAUGUUAUUUAAUUGACGAUAAUCACAACACAUUCACCACCCUCCUUUGGCUUUAAGUACUACAUGAAUCGGUGAUGAAAAAUUUAAAGAAGAUGAACGAAUUAUUCCUUUCUCUAGAAGUCCAUCAAUUUUUUUUUAACAAAAUUGAGUUUAACCCCAUCCAGCUUGUGAAUUUUGCAACGCAAGGAGGACCCUUAGUUUCGAGAUGAUGUUCAACUCCAUGAGCUGGAAUUAAACAACACUCAUUAUCCUCAUCUCAUAUCAAGAGCACGGAUAUUCA
rnacentral:lncRNA from 1 species